GUUUUUUAAGUCUGGAGUGAAAGGCGACGGCUCAACCGUCGACGCGCUUCGGAAGCUGGGGGACUUGAGGGCAGGAGAGGCGAGCGGAAUUCCCGGUGUAGCGGUGAAAUGCGUAGAGAUCGGGAAGAACACCAGUGGCGAAGGCGGCUCGCUGGACUGGCCCUGACGCUGACGCGCGAAAGCGUGGGGAGCGAACGGGAUUAGAUACCCCGGUAGUCCAUGCCGUAAACGAUGGGCACUAGGUGUGGGAGGUAUCGACCCCUCCCGUGCCGGAGUUAACACACUAAGUGCCCCGCCUGGGGAGUACGGCCGCAAGGUUGAAACUCAAAGGAAUUGACGGGGGCCCGCACAAGCAGUGGAGCAUGUGGUUUAAUUCGACGCAACGCGAAGAACCUUACCCGGGCUUGACAUCCCCGGAACACCCGAGAGAUCGGGUGGCUCUACGGAGCCGGGAGACAGGUGCUGCAUGGUUGUCGUCAGCUCGUGUCGUGAGAUGUUGGGUUAAGUCCCGCAACGAGCGCAACCCUUGUCCCGUGUUACCAGCGUAAAGGCGGGGACUCACGGGAGACUGCCGGUGACAAACCGGAGGAAGGUGGGGAUGACGUCAAAUCAUCAUGGCCCUUAUGUCCGGGGCUACACACGUGCUACAAUGGCCGGCACAGCGGGAUGCGAAGGGGCGACCCGGAGCGAAUCCCUGAAAGCCGGUCCCAGUUCGGAUCGCAGGCUGAAACCCGCCUGCGUGAAGCCGGAAUUGC
rnacentral:rRNA from 1 species